UACGGGGGGGGCAAGCGUUGUUCGGAAUUACUGGGCGUAAAGGGCUCGUAGGCGGCCAACUAAGUCAGACGUGAAAUCCCUCGGCUUAACCGGGGAACUGCAUCUGAUACUGGAUGGCUUGAGAUUGGGAGAGGGAUGCGGAAUUCCAGGUGUAGCGGUGAAAUGCGUAGAUAUCUGGAGGAACACCGGUGGCGAAGGCGGCAUCCUGGACCAACACUGACGCUGAGGAGCGAAAGCGUGGGGAGCGAGCCGG
rnacentral:rRNA from 1 species